rnacentral:rRNA from 1 species
AUACGUAGGGUGCGAGCGUUGUCCGGAAUUACUGGGCGUAAAGAGCUCGUAGGUGGUUUGUCGCGUCGUCUGUGAAAUUCCGGGGCUUAACUCCGGGCGUGCAGGCGAUACGGGCAUAACUUGAGUACUGUAGGGGAGACUGGAAUUCCUGGUGUAGCGGUGAAAUGCGCAGAUAUCAGGAGGAACACCGGUGGCGAAGGCGGGUCUCGGGGCAGUAACUGACGUUGAGGAGCAAAAGCAUGGGUAGCGAACAGGAUUAGAUACCCUGGUAGUCCAUGCCGUAAACGGUGGGCGCUAGGUGUAGGGGUCUUCCACGACUUCUGUGCCGUAGCUAACGCAUUAAGCGCCCCGCCUGGGGAGUACGGCCGCAAGGCUAAAACUCAAAGGAAUUGACGGGG